rnacentral:tRNA from 1 species
GCGGGUGUAGCUCAGUUGGUAGAGCGACAGCCUUCCAAGCUGUAGGUCGCGGGUUCGAGCCUCGUCACCCGCUC